rnacentral:rRNA from 1 species
AGUGAACGCUGGCGGUAGGCCUAACACAUGCAAGUCGAACGGCAGCACAGUAAGAGCUUGCUCUUACGGGUGGCGAGUGACGGACGGGUGAGGAAUACAUCGGAAUCUACUUUUUCGUGGGGGAUAACGUAGGGAAACUUACGCUAAUACCGCAUACGACCUACGGGUGAAAGCAGGGGAUCUUCGGACCUUGCGCGAUUGAAUGAGCCGAUGUCGGAUUAGCUAGUUGGCGGGGUAAAGGCCCACCAAGGCGACGAUCCGUAGCUGGUCUGAGAGGAUGAUCAGCAACACUGGAACUGAGACACGGUCCAGACUCCUACGGGAGGCAGCAGUGGGGAAUAUUGGACAAUGGGCGCAAGCCUGAUCCAGCCAUACCGCGUGGGUGAAGAAGGCCUUCGGGUUGUAAAGCCCUUUUGUUGGGAAAGAAAAGCAGCAGGUUAAUACCCCGCUGUUCUGACGGUACCCAAAGAAUAAGCACCGGCUAACUUCGUG